rnacentral:lncRNA from 1 species
CCCUAAAGAGGGAGAAAAGAAAUAUUUAAGAAGAAACUGAUUCUUUUUUAUGGCGCUCUUCUUUGGCUUUAACUGAUGUUUGGAUUUUCAUUUAGGCUUCUCCCACAGUUUUUACCUAAUCAUUGUUUUUUAUCCCAAUGUUCAACAUCAAGUAUCUGAGGUUACCGAUAUGGGUAAGGCAAAAAUUAUUAGUGAGGCUUAGGCUAAGAGGGGUCUAAAGCAAGCUUCCCCUUUUAUUUUCUCCUUAUCUUUCUAGAGUGAAGGCACAACCCCUCAUAAUUUUUAUGCUCCCUUUCUAACCUUGGUAUCUUUGGAUACAGUAGGUUUCAAAGAAUGUGCUAAUCCAUCUUACAAGUAGCUCUCUAUGGGUUGAGGUUUGCCUUCAUACUCAUUGGAUCGUUUCUAGGGGUAUUAUUUGUCGAAGGUUAUUAAAUCUUUAUGAAUCUAACUACAUAUAGCCAAGAGGACUCUGCCACAGUCCUAUUGAUGAAAAGUAGGUGUUCGAAGCUCAGCUCAUUCAAUUGUAACUGAAAGAACAAGUGGUCUGACAUGAACUUGAUUGAUUCAUAUUGGAUCAUAGAUGAAUUGAGGGUGUAUUGAUGGGGAAAAUUCAGGCGACCCUCUUUAUCUUAGAAGGUAUUUGUGCAAUAUUUUUGAUGUAUGGUUUUGGUGCCUUUCUUUCUAGUUCAUACGUAUUUACCAUUUCUUUAUUUAAAGUAUUGUACAUUAUUCCUUUCUAUAAUAACCUAAUACUUAAUA